CGUAAGGGGCAAGCGUUGUCCGGAAUCACUGGGCGUAAAGCGCACGUAGGCGGUUUAGCAAGUUAGGGGUGCAAGCUCCAGGCUUAACCUGGAAACUGCCUCUAAAACUACUUCACUUGAGUAUUAGAGGGGAAGCUGGAAUUCACGGUGUAGCGGUGAAAUGUGUAGAUAUCGUGGAGAACACCCGUGGCGAAGGCGGGCUUCUGGCUAAUAACUGACGCUGAGGUGCGAAAGCUAGGGGAGCGAACGGGAUUAGAUACCCCGGUAGUCCUAGCCGUAAACGAUGAGUACUAGGUGUGGGGGGUAAAUCCUCCGUGCCGACGCCAACGCAUUAAGUACUCCGCCUGGGGACUACGGCCGCAAGGUUA
rnacentral:rRNA from 1 species